CAUACCACUUGUUGCCUCGGCGGAUCAGCCCGCUCCCGGUAAAACGGGACGGCCCGCCAGAGGACCCCUAAACUCUGUUUCUAUAUGUAACUUCUGAGUAAAACCAUAAAUAAAUCAAAACUUUCAACAACGGAUCUCUUGGUUCUGGCAUCGAUGAAGAACGCAGCAAAAUGCGAUAAGUAAUGUGAAUUGCAGAAUUCAGUGAAUCAUCGAAUCUUUGAACGCACAUUGCGCCCGCCAGUAUUCUGGCGGGCAUGCCUGUUCGAGCGUCAUUUCAACCCUCAAGCACAGCUUGGUGUUGGGACUCGCGUUAAUUCGCGUUCCUCAAAUUGAUUGGCGGUCACGUCGAGCUUCCAUAGCGUAGUAGUAAAACCCUCGUUACUGGUAAUCGUCGCGGCCACGCCGUUAAACCCCAACUUCUGAAUGUUGACCUCGGAUCAGGUAGGAAUACCCGCUGAACUUAAGCAUAUCAAUAAGCGGAGGAAUUACCGAGUUUUACAACUCCAAACCUGGUGAAAAUACAUUGUUGCCUCGGGAUCGCCCCUCGUAAAAGGGACGGCCCGAGGACUAAACUCGUUGUCUAUAUGUAACUUCUGAGUAAAACCAUAAAUAAAUCAAUAACUUUCACAAGCAUCUUGGGUUCUGGCUUCAUG
rnacentral:rRNA from 1 species